rnacentral:rRNA from 1 species
UACGGGGGGAGCAAGCGUUGUUCGGAUUUACUGGGCGUAAAGGGCGCGUAGGCGGCCACUGCAAGUCAGUUGUGAAAUCUCCGGGCUUAACCCGGAAAGGUCAGCUGAUACUGCAGGGCUAGAGUGCAGAAGGGGCAACUGGAAUUCUCGGUGUAGCGGUGAAAUGCGUAGAUAUCGAGAGGAACACCUGCGGCGAAGGCGGGUCUCUGGGCCGAUACUGACGCUGAGGAGCGAAAGCGUGGGGAGCGAACAGG